rnacentral:lncRNA from 1 species
CACAAUGUCCCAAGUGUGGUUAGCAUCCAAUGCAUCAAAUUCCUUUCUCAUGGCAUCCUGCCAAGCUGGUACAGAUGCAGCUUGAGAGUAAUACAUGGGUUCAGAUUCCAAAUUAGAGGAAGAGGAGCCAGAGAAGGCUGGAAGCUGGCAAACAUAAUCUUUGAGGUAAGAAGGGGGAUUGUGGUGUCUAGUGGAUUUUCUGGGCAUGGGAAGAGGCUGAGAGACAGGUAAAUCUGGAGGAGAAACAUUAGGAUUAAAAAAAGGGGAAGGAAUGGAUACAGGAGAGGCAGGAGAAGAACUAGAAGGAGAAGAAGGGGUAGAAUCACUGGAAGAUAGUAAUAUAAAAGAUUGUUCAAGGAUGUCAUCAGAAAGGGGAAUAGGUGGAGGAGGAGAGGAAGAUGGAG